AGGAUGAACGCUGGCGGCGUGCUUAACACAUGCAAGUCGAGCGAAGCAUUAAAACCGAUUUCUUCGGAAAGAAGUUUUAAUGACUGAGCGGCGGACGGGUGAGUAACGCGUGGGUGACCUGCCUCAUACAGGGGGAUAACAGACAGAAAUGUCUGCUAAUACCGCAUAAGCGCACAGUGCUGCAUGGCACAGUGUGAAAACCUCCGGUGGUAUGAGAUGGACCCGCGUCUGAUUAGCUAGUUGGUAAGGUAACGGCUUACCAAGGCGACGAUCAGUAGCCGGCCUGAGAGGGUGAACGGCCACAUUGGGACUGAGACACGGCCCAAACUCCUACGGGAGGCAGCAGUGGGGAAUAUUGCACAAUGGGGGAAACCCUGAUGCAGCGACGCCGCGUGAAGGAAGAAGUAUUUCGGUAUGUAAACCUCUAUCAGCAGGGAAGAAAAUGACGGUACCUGACUAAGAAGCCCCGGCUAACUACGUGCCAGCAGCCGCGGUAAUACGUAGGGGGCAAGCGUUAUCCGGAUUUACUGGGUGUAAAGGGAGCGUAGACGGCAUGGCAAGUCUGGUGUGAAAGGCAGGGGCUCAACCCCUGGACUGCAUUGGAAACUGUCAGGCUGGAGUGCAGGAGAGGUAAGUGGAAUUCCUAGUGUAGCGGUGAAAUGCGUAGAUAUUAGGAGGAACACCAGUGGCGAAGGCGACUUACUGGACUGUAACUGACGUUGAGGCUCGAAAGCGUGGGGAGCAAACAGGAUUAGAUACCCUGGUAGUCCACGCCGUAAGCGAUGAAUACUAGGUGUCAGGGAGCAAAGCUCUUUGGUGCCGCAGCUAACGCAAUAAGUAUUCCACCUGGGGAGUACGUUCGCAAGAAUGAA
rnacentral:rRNA from 1 species